GGUGGAGCGACAGUAUUUUUUCUUGUCAUGGUUCAUUGCUGGUGCUUUCAUCGGUGGGGGAUGAUGGAGGUACUCCUCUCCCUCAAACUCCAUCAGAAUCUUCACAUGGAGAGCAGAAAGAGGAGUAUAGGAGUCAUACCUGCUACCGUAAUUAUUCGACUUUAGACUCCAUCGGUAGAAUGAAGCUUCUUUGUUGGUUGUUGGCCGACUCGAUUC
rnacentral:lncRNA from 1 species